AGCGAACGCUGGCGGCAGGCUUAACACAUGCAAGUCGAGCGGGCACUUUCGGGUGUCAGCGGCGGACGGGUGAGUAACGCGUGGGAACGUGCCCUCUGGUUCGGAAUAACUCAGGGAAACUUCAGCUAAUACCGGAUACGCCCUUUUGGGGAAAGGCUUGCUGCCGGAGGAUCGGCCCGCGUCUGAUUAGCUAGUUGGUGAGGUAACGGCUCACCAAGGCGACGAUCAGUAGCUGGUCUGAGAGGAUGAUCAGCCACACUGGGACUGAGACACGGCCCAGACUCCUACGGGAGGCAGCAGUGGGGAAUAUUGGACAAUGGGCGCAAGCCUGAUCCAGCCAUGCCGCGUGAGUGAUGAAGGCCUUAGGGUUGUAAAGCUCUUUUAUCCGGGACGAUAAUGACGGUACCGGAGGAAUAAGCCCCGGCUAACUUCGUG
rnacentral:rRNA from 1 species